UGUGGUCUGGUACCAAACUGGCAAUCUGCCUUGGGAUUUGGCACAACACAGACAAGAGAUGUCCACAUUUUUCAGGAUCCCAGGAUUCUCAGGAUGUCUUCUUUGAAUGCUAGCGAAUUACAUUGAUGCAGAUACUGACAGGCACUUCUGAAUCUGUGCCCCUUUUUGAAGAAGUCUUCGUCAAUUCCUCAGCAGACAGCAUCUUCAGUUUGCUCCAAGGCUCAUGAGAUUCAUCCAGGAGACUUCUGCCUGCCUGAGUGUGGCCAGCUAAGAAGGUAUUCAAGUUCUUGCUUAAUUCACCAGCAUCUGGGUGAGGAUGCAAUAGACCUGAAAGCUGAGGGUGAGCCUCUUCACUGCAGAGAAGAAACAUACAUUGGGUUGCUUCUGCCAACCAAAAGCCGAGACAGCUUUGGUUUCAUCCACCUGGACGCUGCUGGCUUUGAUUUUUUUAUGGAAAUGUGAGUGCCCGUCUCUCUCUAAU